rnacentral:SRP_RNA from 1 species
UGUGGGAGACCAGGAGUGCUGUGCUGUGAUGCACUGUGUCCAUCAUGUGUCCACACUAAGUUGGCAUCAAUGUGGUGACCUCCUAGAAGCUGGGAGCCACCAGAUUGCCUAAGGACGGAAGAACUGGCUUAGGUCAAAACUCCCAUGCUGAUCAGUAGUGGGAUAGUACUGUGAACAGCCACUAUACUACAGCCUGGGCAACAUAGCA